UGGGGAAUUUUGGACAAUGGGCGCAAGCCUGAUCCAGCCAUGCCGCGUGAGUGAAGAAGGCCUUCGGGUUGUAAAGCUCUUUCGGCGGGGACGAAAAGGUCCGUGCUAACACCACGGAUCCAUGACGGUACCCGCAGAAGAAGCACCGGCUAACUACGUGCCAGCAGCCGCGGUAAUACGUAGGGUGCAGGCGUUAAUCGGAAUUACUGGGCGUAAAGCGUGCGCAGGCGGUCUAUUAAGACAGGUGUGAAAUCCCCGGGCUUAACCUGGGAACUGCGCUUGUAACUGAUAGGCUGGAGUGUGGCAGAGGGGGGUGGAAUUCCAGGUGUAGCAGUGAAAUGCGUAGAGAUCUGGAGGAACACCGAUGGCGAAGGCAGCCCCCUGGGCUAACACUGACGCUCAUGCACGAAAGCGUGGGGAGCAAACAG
rnacentral:rRNA from 1 species